rnacentral:misc_RNA from 1 species
AACGCACCUUGCGCCCCUUGGUAUUCCUUGGGGCACACCUGUUUGAGUGUCAUGUACAUCUCGACUAGUCUAUUUUUUAAUGGCUAGCUCGGUUUUGGAGAGUUGCUGGAUUUCGUGAUCUGGCUCUUUCCUGAAUUUAUUAGUCAAGGUUCUCAACCACUUGCCACUGGCGUAGCAAAGCUUUCGCCGCAUACAUUGUGGUAUUAUGAGACUGUUUGGCUCUCUAAAGCCCAACUUUUUGUGUUUUGACCUCAAAUCAGGUGGGACUACCCGCUGAACUUAA